rnacentral:sRNA from 1 species
AAAGGCAGCUCAUUUUGAUAUAGACUGGGGCAAAGAAGAUGAUUCCAAUUUGUUAAUUGGCAUCUAUGAAUAUGGAUAUGGAAGCUGGGAAAUGAUUAAAAUGGAUCCUGACCUCAGUCUAACACACAAGAUUCUUCCAGAUGAUCCCGAUAAAAAACCACAAGCAAAACAGUUGCAGACCCGUGCAGACUACCUCAUCAAAUUACUUAGUAGAGAUCUUGCAAAAAAAGAAGCUCUUUCUGGUGUGGGAAGUUCAAAGAGGAGAAAAGCAAGAGCUAAGAAGAAUAAAGCAAUGAGGUCUGUAAAAGUGAAAGAGGAAAUAAAGAGUGAUUCUUCUCCUCUGCCUUCAGAGAAGUCUGAUGAAGAUGAUGAUAAAGAUGAGAUCAGUUCUGUGAAACAUCCAAAUAAAAAAGUUAAAACAGAAAGAGACAGUGAAGAAAAACCUGAGCCAGAUGUUUAUAUAAAGAAGGAACCAGAAGAAAAGAGGGAAGCAAAAGAAAAGGAGAAUAAAAAAGAACUUAAAAGGGAGAUAAAAGAAAAAGAGGAUAAGAAAGAUAUAAAGGAAAAAGAUUUUAAAGAAAAAAGAGAAAACAAAGUAAAAGAAGCUAUACAGAAAGAAAAAGACAUAAAGGAAGAAAAGGUAUGCAAAUCAUAAUAAAAAAUUUAGAAAGUAAAAACAACCAGCAUAUUUACAUUUUAGGAGACUAAAUUGCAUAUCAGCCCA